rnacentral:rRNA from 1 species
CAGCCGCCGCGGUAAUACGUAGGGUGCGAGCGUUAAUCGGAAUUACUGGGCGUAAAGCGUGUGCAGGCGGUUGCGUAAGACAGGUGUGAAAUCCCCGGGCUUAACCUGGGAACUGCGCUUGUGACUGCACAGCUAGAGUAUGGCAGAGGGGGGUGGAAUUCCACGUGUAGCAGUGAAAUGCGUAGAGAUCGGGAGGAACAUCAGUGGCGAGGGCGGCCAUCUGGGACAACACUGACGCUGAGGCACGAAAGCGUGGGGAGCAAACAGGAUUAGAUACCCGAGUAGUCCCUGUCUCUUAUAC